GUGAACAGUACUGGAAGUCUGUAGGGAAGAUAGAGCCUCAGGGAGGAGGGAUUGGUCCUAGAGGAAACUGGGAUGAAGAGAUUCACAAAGCAAGAAGUCUGACCACAAAGCCCCCUCUCUCUCUUCCUCUGUGCACCAGCACCACGUAGUGUAGUGAUAAACAGACCUGAGGCCACCAAUAGAAGAACAGUCUUAACCAAGACCAUAUUUGAUUUCAAGAAGAAAUUGAAGUUUUGAGUAUCUCAAUUUGACACAGAGGGAUCCCCUGUACUUGAGGCCUACUAGGCUUACCCCAAUGGUUAGUCUAACUCUGAGAGACUGGAUAAAAGUUAAGUCACUAACCUAUAACAAUAACUCAUGAUGAGAAAAGGUGCAAAAGAGAGACAGACUGAAUUGCCUAAACAGAAAAAGGCGUCAAAGACUGUGUUAAGAUCGUGCCCAGAAAAUAGGACAAGUAUGGGACUGGAAAUCAAUGGAUCAAACUUGGUAUUGGAAAUUCAUCCUAUUUGAUGGACAAAAUGAUGAGGGGAUGAGCUAGUCCACUUAUCACUUCCCUGUUGGGGUCCUCAAUUAAAAAAAACAACAGACUUUGGGAAGAAAAUUGGUGGACACAGAUGCUGGCUGACUGAAAGGUGAAAGAACAGGAAGAAAUGAGCAUCAUCAUCAUGGCUGCCAACCCUACCACUUCCACAAUGAUACCACUGUACUUCACUGUCCUGAGCCUGAAAGAUGUCCAGACCAGGCCAAAGAUGGGGACCCAGAUGACAUCACCAUCUCCACCAGCUCCGGUUAAAUUUCAAACCCACCUGGGAUGUGCUUGGCGGCGGCUGCUUUUGAUCCAGUGACAAACCGAUAAUGCUUGUUUACUCGUUUCAGCCAAAAAGAAAGUCAAGUCCAGAGGACACAGUGAGAGAACUCUCCCAUACUAGGUCAUGUGCUCAGGAAAGGCAAAGUGUAGUUUGUAUGGCAAGCCAAAAAAAAAAUGUUUGGACAGCCUAUAUGUAGUGCUGGUGUGGUGUCUGUCUUCAAAAGCCUCAUUGGUAGAGACCCUGUAUGUGUCAGGGAACAGCUGUUCUUCCGCACCACCCUGCAAAUACUCCGAGCAACGAGAACGGGAGAGUUGAUGGAGCCCAGUGAAAAAUCUUGAGAGUCAGAGACAGGGCUUCUGGAGUAGAAGAGCUGUGGCUGUGAAGCUCCCUAGCACCGGAAAUCCGGCUGAGUUUGUGUCUCGCUUCCUUGACAACACAGUACAAGACACCUCUUAAUGAUUAACAAGUAGCCAAGAAGGAAGAAAGAUGGUUCAUCAUUUGCCCGUGAUAACUCUUUCUUGCUAAUUCAUUGCAUUUGGUACCUUUCUACUGCAGUGAUGGGCAUAUUAAAAUUGGGGGAGGGGGAAAGAGGAAUGGGAAGCCCACCUGCUUCAUGACUUUGCAAGACAGCAAACUGUUUAUCUCCAGAGUUGAGGUUUAGAAACUAGGGCCUUGAGCCUCCAAACUUAUGCAUAUCUUUAACUUUAAACGCAGGAGUUGUCCCAUGAUUUCAGGCUGCUCUCCAAUUGUAGAGGGUUCCAUAAUCACAGACUGGUUCAGAAUGAGCCCUGAGUUCAGUGGGAUUACUUGUAAAGUCAACAAUGCUCAUAAAUAUUAGGAUUGGGGCCUAAAUAUCUUACUGUAAAAAUUCACAUGCAAGUUCUUAUAAUCUAAAGAUUUAAGACCCAGCCUCCUGUUGCUCCAAAGGAAAUGGAAGGAUUUUCCAAGAAAUACUCAUACACUAAGCUACCCUUACAAGUAGCUCUGAGGUGAAUGUUUAAUGUGACACUCCCAUACUUUUUCAAACUGGUUUUUUAUGCUUUAUCCUCAGGUGUGUUGUGAGCAGAGCAAUGCCUGCAAUAUACAUCAAAUGCUGGGAAGUCAACAGACAUUUUUCUCUAAAGAUAGGGUUGCCUAAAGUUCUCUUUCAGGCUCCACCUACAAAACACUAAUGGAGUUUC